UGCGUAGGCGGAUAGAUAAGUCAGUGGUGAAAACCUGCAGCUUAACUGUAGACUUGCCGUUGAUACUGUCAGUCUUGAGUAUGGUCAAGGUAGGCGGAAUGUGUAAUGUAGCGGUGAAAUGCUUAGAUAUUACACAGAACACCGAUUGCGAAGGCAGCUUACUGGGCCAUUACUGACGCUGAUGCACGAAAGCGUGGGGAUCGAACAG
rnacentral:rRNA from 1 species